AGUGAACGCUGGCGGUAGGCCUAACACAUGCAAGUCGAACGGCAGCACAGUAAGAGCUUGCUCUUACGGGUGGCGAGUGGCGGACGGGUGAGGAAUACAUCGGAAUCUACUUUUUCGUGGGGGAUAACGUAGGGAAACUUACGCUAAUACCGCAUACGACCUACGGGUGAAAGCAGGGGAUCUUCGGACCUUGCGCGAUUGAAUGAGCCGAUGUCGGAUUAGCUAGUUGGCGGGGUAAAGGCCCACCAAGGCGACGAUCCGUAGCUGGUCUGAGAGGAUGAUCAGCCACACUGGAACUGAGACACGGUCCAGACUCCUACGGGAGGCAGCAGUGGGGAAUAUUGGACAAUGGGCGCAGGCCUGAUCCAGCCAUACCGCGUGGGUGAAGAAGGCCUUCGGGUUGUAAGCCCUUUUGUUGGGAAAGAAAAGCAGCAGGUUAAUACCCCGCUGUUCUGACGGUACCCAAAGAAUAAGCACCGGCUAACUUCGUG
rnacentral:rRNA from 1 species